rnacentral:rRNA from 1 species
AUUGAACGCUGGCGGCAGGCCUAACACAUGCAAGUCGAGCGGUAGAGAGAAGCUUGCUUCUCUUGAGAGCGGCGGACGGGUGAGUAAUACCUAGGAAUCUGCCUGAUAGUGGGGGAUAACGUUCGGAAACGGACGCUAAUACCGCAUACGUCCUACGGGAGAAAGCAGGGGACCUUCGGGCCUUGCGCUAUCAGAUGAGCCUAGGUCGGAUUAGCUAGUUGGUGAGGUAAUGGCUCACCAAGGCUACGAUCCGUAACUGGUCUGAGAGGAUGAUCAGUCACACUGGAACUGAGACACGGUCCAGACUCCUACGGGAGGCAGCAGUGGGGAAUAUUGGACAAUGGGCGAAAGCCUGAUCCAGCCAUGCCGCGUGUGUGAAGAAGGUCUUCGGAUUGUAAAGCACUUUAAGUUGGGAGGAAGGGCAGUUACCUAAUACGUGACUGUCUUGACGUUACCGACAGAAUAAGCACCGGCUAACUCUGUGCCAGCAGCCGCGGUAAUACAGAGGGUGCAAGCGUUAAUCGGAAUUACUGGGCGUAAAGCGCGCGUAGGUGGUUUGUUAAGUUGAAUGUGAAAUCCCCGGGCUCAACCUGGGAACUGCAUCCAAAACUGGCAAGCUAGAGUAUGGUAGAGGGUAGUGGAAUUUCCUGUGUAGCGGUGAAAUGCGUAGAUAUAGGAAGGAACACCAGUGGCGAAGGCGACUACCUGGACUGAUACUGACACUGAGGUGCGAAAGCGUGGGGAGCAAACA